UAUUGUAUAAACGUCAUACAUUUUACAUACAUUGGUUUAUCGCGAAAUAUCUCGUGCUUCGUUACAAAAUAGGCGUUAUUCGCAUAGAACAAUAAUUAUUACGUUUCAUAGCAGUGCGAUUUACGUUUCGAGCACGUUUCAAUAUGAUCUAGUAUAAGUUUUAUACAAACUAGGAUAAAUUAUUGUUUAUACGUGUAUAGAAUUACUAAUGAAGAGAAACUAUAUCUUACUAGGUAUGAUCUGAAUGAACCUACGAAUAUUAUAACUACGUGCUCUGGCCUGAUUAAACUUACCAGCUCGUGUUAAGCGGAACUUACCUGUUAUUAUGGAGAAUAUUACAUUACAUUGAGCGAAAAAGACUCGACUGUUAAAGUUCACCGUCGAUAAAUUCGAGGAAAUACGGAAGUCGAAUACAUGGGUGAAUAUACGAGAGGCUGCGGAAGGAAGAAGAAAAGCGAGCGGAAGAAGAAAAAGUGGAAAUGUUUGCCGUUGAUAAGGGAGAAGAUUCAAGGUGAAAAUCGGUGGUUAGCCAAACAUUAUGUAUUCGAGAUAGCUACAAGUUUCUCCGAGAGAUAUUUGCGAUGAAAGGGGUACGGGGUUAGAUUUCUAUCCCCGAUGGUGGUGCAAGCUUCGUUUUCUCAUUGGUCC